rnacentral:lncRNA from 1 species
UUUUUUUUUUUUUUUUUUUAAAUAAUGUAUUUGAGCCUAUAUGACCAUCAGGCUAAAGCAAGCAGAUACAGGAAGGGGUUAACAUACUUAAGAAACAGGGCAACCACAAAUCAAAACCAAACAUUACAUUCACAAAAACUAAAAAGAAAAGUACUCAAGCAUAAAAUAAAUGGAAAUCAUACAACCAAAAAAAAAAAAAAAAAAAAAAAACAAGGAAGAAAGGAGAAACAUAGAAUGAACAGGAAAACAAGGCUUAAAGUGGCAAUGAAUAGGAGUUCCUAUUGUGGCGCAGUGGAAACAAAUCUGACUAGGAACCAUGAGGUUGUGGGUUCUAUCCCUGGCCUUGCUCAGUGGGUUAAGGAUCCAGCAUUGCCGUGAGCUGUGGUGUAGGUCACAGGUGUGGUUUGGAUCCUGCACUGCUGUGGCGUAGGCCGGCAGCUGUAGCUCUGAUUCAACCCCUAGUCUAGGAACUUCCAUAUGCUGCAGGUGUGGCCCUAAAAGGAAAAAAAAGACCAAAAAAAAAAAAAAAGGCAAUAAAUACAUAUCAAUGAUUACCUUAAAUGUCAAUGAACUGAAUGCUCCAAUCAAAAGACACAGAAUGGCAGAUUGGAUAAAAAACAAAACCUACAAUCUGCUGUCUACAAGAGAUUCACUUAAGGGCAAAAGACACAUAUAGAUUGAAAGUGAGGGGAUGGGAAAAGAUAUUUCAUGCCAAUGGACAAGACAGGAAAGCAGGAGUUGCAAUACUCCUAUCAGACAAAAUAGACUUUAAAAUGAAGUCCAUAAAGAAAGACAAAGAAGGACACUAUUUAAGGAUUCAUUCAAGAAGAGGAUAUUACAAUUGCCAAUAUAUACGCCCCUAAAAUAGGGGCACCCGGAUACCUAAAACAAAUACUAAAGGACAUAAAAGGAGAAAUUGAUGGGAAUACAAUCAUAGUAGGAGAAGACUUUAACACCCCACAAACAUCAAUGCACAGAUCCUCUAGACAGAAAAUCAGUAAGGCAACACAGAUCCAAAAUGACACAAUAGAAAAGUUAAUCAACAUUUUCAGGACACAAUAGAAAAGUUAAUCAACAUUUUCAGGACAUUACAUCCAAAAAAGUCAGAAUAUUCAUUCUUCUCAAGUGUACACGGAACAUUCUCAAGGACUGACCACAUACUGGGGCACAAAACCAACCUCAACAAAUUUAAGAGUAUAGUAAUUAUUUCAAGUAUCUUCUCUGACCACAAUGGCAUGAAACUAGAAAUCAACCACAGGGGGGAAAAAAAAUACAAUGGGUCAAUGAGGAAAUCAAGAAGGAAAUUAAAAAAUACCUCGAGACAAAUGAUAAUGAAGACACAACCACUCAAAAUUUAAGGGAUGCCACAAAAGCAGUGCUCAGAGAGAAAUUCAUAGCUAUACAGACCUUCCUCGAAAAAAGAAAAAUCUCAAAAUCGAAAACUUAACCCACCACCUAAAUGAAUUAGAAAAAGAACAAACAAAACUUAAAGUCAGGAGAAGGAACGAAAUCAUAAAGAUCAGAGAGGAAAUCAAUAAAACAGAGAUUCAAAAAACAGUAGAAAAAAAUUAGGAAAACCAAGAUUUGGUUCUUUGAAAAGGUAAACAAAUUGACAAACCUCUGGCAAGACCCACCAAGAAGAGGAGAGAAAAAACCCAAAUAAACAAAGUAAGAAAUGAAAAAGGAGAAAUCACAAUGGAUACUGCAGAAAUACAAAAACCCGUAAGAGAAUAUGGUGAACAACUGUAUGCCAACAAUUUUGAAAACCUGGAAGAAACGGACAACUUUCUAGAUACUUACAGCCUGCCAAAACUGAAUCAAUAAGAACUAGACCAACUGAACAUACCAAUCACUGAAAGUGAAAUUGAAUAUGUAAUAAAAACACUCCCUACAAAUAAAAGUCCAGGACCAGAUGGCUUCACAGGUGAAUUCUACCAAACAUACAAAGAGGAGAUUAUACCCAUCCUCCAUACACUUUUUCAAAAGGUUGAAGAAGAAGGAAUACUCCCAAAGACAUUCUAUGAUGCCACCAUCACCCUAAUUCCAAAACCAGACAAAGAUAUCACCAAAAAAGAAAAGUAUAGGCCAAUAUCUUUGAUGAAUAUAGAUGUAAAAAUCCUCAAAAAUUUUAGCCAGCUGAAUCCAACAACAUAUAAAAAGAUCAUACACCACAACCAAGUGGGAUUAAUCCCAGGUUCACAAGUGUGGUUCAACAUAUGCAAAUCAAUCGAUGCCAAACACCAUAUUAACAAAAGAAAAGUCAAAAAAUCAUAUGAUCAUCUCAAUUGAUGCAGAAAAAGCAUUUGAAAAAGUCCAACAUCCACUCAUGAUCAAAACUCUUACCGAAGUGGGUAUAGAGGGAACAUACCUUAACAUAAUAAAAGCCAUAUAUGAAAACUCACAGCAAAUAUAAUACUCAAUGGAGAAAAGCUGAAAGCCUUCCCACCAAAAUCUGGAAAAAGACAAGGAUGCUUACUCUCACCACUUUUACUCAACAUGGUAUUGAAAAUCCUAGCCAUAGCAACCAGACAAACCAAAGAAAUAAAAAGCAUCCAAAUAGGAAGAGAAGAGGUAAAACUGUCACUGUAUGCAGAUGACAUGAUACUCUCUAUAGAAAAUUUUAAGGACUCAACCCUAAAACUGCUUAACUGAUCAAAAAAUUCAGCAAAGUAGCAGGAUAUAAGAUUAACAUUCAGAAAUCAGUCACAUUUCUGUAUACUAACAAUCAAGUAUUAGAAAAGGAAUACAAAAACACAAUACCUUUUAAAAUUGCACUCAAAAAAAAAAUCAAAUACCUGGGAAUAAACCUGACCAAGGAGGUAAAGGACUUAUAUGCUGAGUACUAUAAAACAUUAAUAAAGGAAAUUAAAGAAGAUGUAAAGAAAUGGAAAGAUAUUCCAUGCUCCUGGGUUGGAAAAAUUAGUAUUGUAAAAAUGGCCAUACUACCCAAAGCAAUCUACUGAUUCAGGGCAAUUACCCAUGACAUUUUUCACAGAACUAGAACAAACAAUCCAAACAUUUAUAUGGAACCAUAAAAGACCCAGAACUGGCAAAGGAAUCCUGAGGAACACAAACCAAGCAGGAGGCAUAACUCUCCCAGACUGCAGGCAAUAUUACAAAGCCACAGUCAUCAAGACAGUGUGGUACUGGUACCAAAACAGUCAGACAGACUGACCAGUGGAACAUAAUAGAGAACCCAGAAAUAAAUCCAGACACCUACAGUCAAUUAAUCUUCGCCAAAGGUUGUUUGAGUAAGUGGUGCUGGGAAAACUGGACAGCUGCAUGUAAAUCAAUGAAACUGGAACACACCCUCAUGCCAUGCACAAAAAUAAACUCAAAAUGGCUUAAAGACUUAAAUAUAAGACAAGAAAUCAUCAAACUCCUAGAAGGGAACAUAGGCAAAACAUUCUCUGACAUCAACCUUACAAAUGUUUUCUCAGGUCAGUCUCCCAAAGCAACGAAAAUAAAAGCAACAAUAAACCAAUGGGACCUAAUCAAACUGACAAGCUUUUGCACAGCAGAGGAAAUCAAAAGGAACACAAAAAGAUAACUUACAGAAUGGGAAAAAAUAGUUUCAAAUGAUGCAACUGACAAGGGCUUAAUCUCCAAAAUAUACAACUUAUACAACUCAACAGCAAAAAAGCCAAUGACCCAACUGAAAAAUGGGCAAAAGACCUGAAUAGAUAUUUCUCCAAAGAAGAUAUACAGAUGGCCAACAAGCACAUGAAAAAAUGCUCAACAUCACUGAUUAUUAGAGAAAUGCAAAUCAAAACUACCAUGAUACCACCUCACACCAGUCAGAAUGGCCAUCAUUAAUAAAGUCCACAAAGAACAAAUGUUGGAGGGGGUGUGGAGAAAAGGGAACCCUCCUGCACUGCUGAUGGGAAUGUAAGCUGCUACAACCACUAUGGAGAUCAGUAUGGAGGUCCUUUUCAAAACUAUACAUAGAACUACCAUAUGACCCAGCAAUCCCACUCUUGGGCAUAUAUAUCUGGACAAAACUUUCUUUAAAAAAGACACAUGCACCUGCAUGUUCAUUGCAGCACUAUUCACAAUAGCCAGGACAUGGAAACAACCCAAACGUCCAUCAACAGAUGAUUGGAUUAGGAAGAAGUGGUGUGUAUAUAAACACAAUGGAAUACUACUCAUCCAUAAAAAAGAACAAAAUAAUGCCAUUUGCAGCAACAUGGAUGGAACUAGAGAGUCUCAUACUGAGUGAAGUCAGUCAGAAAGAGAAAGACAUAUACCAUAUGAUAUGACAUAUCUGGAAUCUAAUUUAUGGCACAAAUGAACAUUUGCACAGAAAAGAAAUUCAUGGACUUGGAGAACAGGCUUGUGGUAGCCAAGGGAAAGAGGGAGGGAGUGGGAUGGACUGGGAAUUUUGGGUUAAUAGAGGCAACCUAUUGCCUUUGUAAUGGAUAAGCAAUGAGAUCCUGCUGUAUAGCACUGGGAACUAUAUCUAGUCACUUAUGAUGGAGCAUGAUAUAGGAUAAGUGAGAAAAAAGAAUGUAUACAUGUAUGUGUGACUGUCACCUUGCUGUACAGUAGAAAACUGAUAGAACACUAUAAACUGGCUAUAACGGAAAAAAUAAAAAUCAUUAUAAAAAAAAGCAAUGUGGGGUGAGCUUAGGCAACAAUGUAUCAAAUGGGAAGAGAACAAAUGUGCCCAGGUAGACAGAGGGCCAACCUGGCUCCUGAGCAUCGAGGCAGCCAUACAGCACAGGGUUCUCAGGAACCCAAAUUCCAAAGCUCGGGGAAGCACUGCAUCAUGACAUUUAUGUCCUCUCCUAAAGAACUGUGCCGAAUACAGUAACCCUGUGAAAUAUUUCUUUUCUUCCAAUUUCAGCUGGGUGUAUGGGUUUUUUGUUGUUUUUUAUUUUUGUCUUUUUAGGUCCGUGGCACAUGGACGUUCCCAGGCUAUGGAUCAAAUUGGAGCUCUGUAGGAAUAUCACAUCAAGCCAGAGGAUUCUUGCUCUGAAUCUCUAGCAACAUCACAACUUCAUGCCUUUUCUCCUUGAAAAUCUAUGAUGCGAGCUGUUUGGUGGUAAUACAGAUAUCCGACCCAAACUAAAUUCCUGGGAAAAUGUUAGUGUUCACACCUAGUAUUCCCAUGGCUUACAGUGUAGAACAUGCAGAAGUGAUACUGCUAAAACAUCUCUUGAUAGAAAGAAUAUACCCAAAAGGUUUACUUUAAAUUGAAGCAUGUUUAUUCAUUCAUUCAACAGACAGGGCAAAAAAGAGGAGGAGGUAUGAGAUAUAAGGCAGAAACGGUCUAUAUAACUAGGAAAGAGGUAGGCACAGCAUGGCGCCUUCCCUCUGAGAGUAUGUAUUACAGAGUGUUUUAGGCACGUGCUUUAACACCCUGCCAAGUUCAUUUUAUACUCCUCACUCUCCAGUAGGCACACGCAGGCUUAUAGACAAAAGGAUCCGAUGGAGGCCGUACCCAUCAGGAUAGGCUAGGUUGUACUGCAAUCCCUCCCAAAUCUGAGUGACUUCAUGAAAGUUUCUCUCCUAACCGCACACGUCAAAUACAGCAGCUCAACUCAUCAUCGUUGCCCAGGAAGGCAGGCUGACAGAAGCCUCAUCCUAGCAUGGUUUCCACGACAGAUGACCACACACGUGAAGGGUCCACUUGGUCCAAAACUCAUCAUUAAAUACGCUUUAGGCUGCUCCACUUACAUCUCCCUGGCCAGAACCACUCAGCCAGGUGGAAAUCAGAAAGUUCACUGUUCCAUGUGCCCAACAGGAGAGGAGGAUCAAAUAUUAUUAACUACAACUCUGACCACAGUGGUUUACUGUAAGGAAUGAGAGGAAGUGUGGAAAUGAGGGACGGACCAUUAGCUGGAUCUAUUUCCAGCUUGAAGAUUGAUGAGCCCCACGUUCAAAGUCCCUUACCUUCCCUAAGCCAAAGUUCGAGGGCAACAGUCUCUCUCCUGCCUAGCUUGGAUGGGGGCGUCUACAGCUGCAAGAAAGCAGGGGGAUAUGAAAAAGCUCUGAAAGCCUACACAUGCUCUGGAAAUGUAAAAUAAUGUUGAGUAUGAGUUUCAUGUGUUUGAGGAGGAUAUGGUUGGUCAGUGCUGGAGAAAAACUGAUAAACACAGGAGGCUGCCUAGUGAUCGGGGGUUGGGGGGAGGAUAAAACACAAGUUGCUUAUGAAUCUUGGCCAUAGAUGCCAAGGCCAAGAGCAUCAAGAAUGUUUUCCUGUUGGGUAAUGAGAAAAAAAAAAAAAGGAUGCUAACUCCCUGGAGCUCCGUGUCUCCUUGAAACAAACAACAAAAUUUCAGCCCAUCCUUAGGGCUCCAUGGUCCACCCUUUACACUGGCUCUCUCCACACGCCCGCUUCUUCACCCACACUAAAGGUGAUGCUGAUCUGGGCUCCAGCACAGCUUUCAUGCCUCUGAGUUUUGCUCUGUCCCUUCCUCCAGCUUUUCCC